rnacentral:rRNA from 1 species
CCUACGGGUGGCAGCAGUGAGGAAUAUUGGUCAAUGGCCGGAAGGCUGAACCAGCCAAGCCGCGUGAAGGACGCAGGUGCCAAGCAUUGUAAACUUCUUUUGUCAAGGGACAAAAUCAGGCUCGAGAGCCUGACCGAGGGUACUUGAAGAAAAAGCAUCGGCUACAUCCGUGCCAGCAGACGCGGUAAUAAGGAGGAUGGGAGCGUUAUCCGGGUGUAUUGGGUUUUAAGGGUGCGUAGGCGGGCUGUUAGGUCAGCGGGAAAAGCCCGGGGCUCAACCCCGGCGAGCCGUUGAGACUGGCUGUCUUGAGAUGUCGAGAGGUAUGCGGAAUGCGCAGUGUAGCGGUGAAAUGCUUAAAUAUUGCGCAGAACUCCGAUUGCGAAGGCAGCAUACCGGCGGCGAUCUGACGCUGAGGCACGAAAGCGUGGGUAUCGAACAGGAUUAGAUACCCCUGUAGUC